GAAGCUCACAGAGCCAACUGAUCGGAGACUCUGGCUCGGAGAGGGGGCUGAGGAGCGAGGCCUGGGUGUGGACGCCCCCGUCUGCCUCUGUCCUGUCUUUGAUAAUACAACCGUGCAAGAGGAGCGCACCCCGGGACCGAGAGCCUGCUGAAUGCUCACGGGACCCAGGUGAGAGAGGACCUGGAGUCAGGCCCAUGCUCCACUGCUAAACUCAGCCUCUUCCUUCACUUUCAAUGGACAGCGAGAACUUCAAAACCUAACAGAUGACAACACGAGACCCAG